UUCCUACGGGGGGCAGCAGUGGGGAAUAUUGCACAAUGGGGGAAACCCUGAUGCAGCGACGCCGCGUGAGCGAUGAAGUAUUUCGGUAUGUAAAGCUCUAUCAGCAGGGAAGAAAAUGACGGUACCUGACUAAGAAGCCCCGGCUAACUACGUGCCAGCAGCCGCGGUAAUACGUAGGGGGCAAGCGUUAUCCGGAUUUACUGGGUGUAAAGGGAGCGUAGACGGUCCUGCAAGCCAGAUGUGAAAACCCGGGGCUCAACCCUGGGAGUGCUUUUGAAACUGUUUGGCUGGAGUGCAGGAGAGGU
rnacentral:rRNA from 1 species